GACGACCAGCCUGCAGAUGGAUCAUCUCCCACCACUAAAAAGAGAACUGCUCUCGUGUGGCAUUCUGCGUCUUUGAAGUUUCAGAGCCUGCUGGAGAGAGACCAUCACAGUAAUCAGUGAACCCCAGACACCAGCCUGAGUGUGGAGUAAAGUCCUUCAGUAAUUCUGAUUAGGAAGAUCCCAAGCCUGUACUGCUGAAAUACUGGACCACAGACGAGGCAGCAAUUAAAAGAGGCUGCAACUGACUUCACCAGUUCCAGGAUCGGGAGCUCCUCCAUCAGCCAGCUUUUCCAAGGCUUCUCACUUCAGUGACCGUUUGUAAACAUCAUAAAGAGCAAGAAUAAACACACUAUUGCUGCCACAUUUAAAUGAUCCUCCAAAUGCUCAAUUUCACAGAGGUUUGUUUAGUUUUGCAUAAUUAGUUUUUUGCUUUGUAGAACUGUGCAGAAAAGUGGUACAAUAAUAAGAUUACAUGAUCUAAUAGUCCAGGUGAAGUUUUAAAAGAUUUUCUAAAAUCAAAACAAAGCUGACAACUGCAUUC